AACGAACGCUGGCGGCGCGCCUAAUACAUGCAAGUCGAGCGAAGGUGUUUCAAGGGUAACCUUGAGAUACACUUAGCGGCGGACGGGUGAGUAAUACGUGGAUAACUUACCUCUAGGCCUGGGAUAACCCCGGGAAACUGGGGCUAAUACCUGAUAAGACCACAUUGUCUACGGACAAAGGGGUAAAAGGUGGCUGUGCAAACAGCUAUCGCCAAAAGAUAGGUUCACGUCCCAUCAGGCAGUGGUGAGGUAAUGGCUCACCAAACCAAAGACGGGUAGCCGGCCUUGGCGGGUGAACGGCCACACGGGGACUGAGACACGGCCCCGACUCCUACGGGAGGCAGCAGUGGGGAAUAUUGGGCAAUGGGCGCAAGCCUGACCCAGCGACGUCGCGUU
rnacentral:rRNA from 1 species